UUGAACCUGAGAGUUUGAUCCUGGCUCAGAACGAACGCUGGCGGCAUGCCUAACACAUGCAAGUCGAACGAAGGCUUCGGCCUUAGUGG
rnacentral:rRNA from 1 species